CAAAGUGCUUGGAUUACAGGCGUGAGCCACCGCACCCAGCCCCCCAAUAUUUUUAUCAUUAUUUUUAAAUGUUUAAUGUUUAGGGGUCAGACUUCAUUUUUGUCAAAUGGACAGCCAAUUGAUCCAGCCCCAUUAACUGAAUAAUACAACCCUUCCCACUGAUUGAAAUGCCACUUCUAUCAUAAGUUCCUAGAGAUACACAGGUCUGUUGCUGGCCAUUUUUCUUUUUCUUUUUUCUUUUUUUCUGGAAACAGGGUCUCUGUCACCCAGGCUGCAGUGUGGUGAUACGAUCAUGGCUCACUUUAACUUUGGCCUCCCAGGUUCAAGUGAUCCUCCCACUUCAGCCUCCCAAGUAGCUGGGAUUACAGGUACAUGGCACCAUGCCCCGCAGUGGCCUUUCUUCAGCAGUGGGCCACAGAAACGAAUAUGCAUGUGAGUGGCUGAGGGUGGCCACCUGGAGAGUGCCACAUGCACUGCGUCUCCUCAUUUGCUGCUGUGCAGAAAUUGUGGACCCACUGUGGCCACAUAUGCCGAGUUCUCAAGAGGUGCUAGACAUCCAGAUUUUUAUAUGAACUCUCCAGUGUUUAAAGUGUUGGCAAUUAAUUAAAAAAAAAAAAUUUAAAAUGCCGGGCACCAUGGCUCACGUCUGUAAUCUCAGCACUUUGGGAGGCCAAGGUGGGUGGAUCACCUGAGGUCAGGAGUUUGAAACCAACCUGGCCAAAAUGACAAAACCCCGUCUCUACUAAAAAUACAAAAAUUAGCCAGGCGUGGUGGCGGGCACCUGUAAUCCCAGCUACUCAGGAGGCUGAGGCAGAAGAAUCACCUGAACCCGGGAGGUGGAGGUUGUAGUGGGCCGAGAUCACGCCAUUGCACUCCAGCCUAGGCAACAAGAACGAAACUCUGUUUAGAAAAAAAAAAAAUUAAAAACAUUAUGUGGACAAAAUACAUUUGCAAGCUGAGACUAGCCUGUGGCACACCGGUUAGUGACCUCUAUUCCACAUGCUGAAAUAAUGCAGGCCAGACUGGGUCCAGGAAUCCACCUCUAACUCUUUCCCACUGCCAACAUUAAGAUGCAAAAGAGGAAGAGUGAUGUGGCAGCUCCUGGAAACCCAGGCAUCUCUGGGAAAGCAAGCAGUGUUAUGGCUCAUGUGUCACCUUUUACCCACAGGAGUUGAUGAUGUGGUUCCCGGUAUGCCAAGUAACUAGGAGGGAGGAGGUCAGCACUGGGGAGGGGAAGGUAACAUCCUCAGUCAAAGUUGGACCUCCCAGACCUGUUAGGCAGAGUUACAAAGAAAGACAAUGGGUUGGAAGGAGGAUGGAAACUGAGGUGCUGGCCAAGAACAUAGCAAGAUUUUGGCCCCCCAAAACAAGCUGGAAAGUGAUGUCACUUCCUAUGUAAUAAUAAUGUGGCUUCCGUGGAAACCUUCCAACUUAACACUGCAGAAUCUGAAAAGAAAUGGCAAUGAGCAGAGGUCUCCCACCCUCACGUGGAGGACAGGGUCCGCAAAGAUGAGUCACAUUGUAGAACUUCACUAUUCAGAGAAAGCCCCUUCACAUGCAGAAUCUCGCUGGUCUCUCAGGACAAUCCUGUGAGGUAGGCAGCACCAGGGGUGUUACUGCCCCUUACAGAAGAGGGAACUGGCAUUAGUGAUGAUCAGAAUGGGUCUUAGAUAGCUCUGGGAUGUGCAGGAAGGACACUUGUAUGAAGAAUAAAAGACCGGCCGGGCGAGUGGCUCACGCCUGUAAUCCCAGCACUUUGGGAGGCCAAGACAGGCGGAUCAUGAGGUCAGGCAUUCGAGACCAGCCUGGGGCGACAGUGCGAGACUCCAUCUCAAAAAAAAAAUAAUAAAAUAAAAAUAAAAGACUGCAGGCCCUUUCUCCUUCCCCGUGCCCAUUUCUGUAGAAUCAUUUAUUCAUUAAAUUCACUGAACACUUUCCAUGGGCUGGGCACUCUUAGGCAUUGGGAACAUAGGAGUACACAGGUCCUGGGCACUGUCCUCCCCUGUGGCUGGGUCAGUCAUCCUUACUCUGAAUCAUGGCCCAGACUGGCCUUGCCCUACUCCUCUCUAGGUAGAGCAGUGAUCUCAGGCCAACUCUUGCAUUUUGUUCCAGAAACCUUGAUUAUUUCCCUGACUAUUGGUCACUUCCCGAAAUGCACUGAACUGUGCCAGGAAUAGGAUAUGUUUUUAAGUGCUUGAGACACAGACAAGUGGCAGACGCAUACCCAAAUUCCAACCAUACUUUACUUCUGACCUAAUUUUAAUAUAUGUUUCAUGCAGUUACACAAUUAUCUGUGCAUAAUGCUCUGAGAAAAGGGAUGGCACAUACAGUUUCUCCUGAAGCGGGAAACAGAGCCCAGUUGGUAAGGUGGCCAGUCUCUAGGGCAUCUUAGAUGAACCUUGUUUCUUCCUAUUACUUUUCCUUCAUCUACUUUUUUUUUUUCUGAGAUAGAGCCUUGCUCUGUCGCCCAGGCUGGAGUGCAGUGGCAUGAUCUCGGCUCACUGCAACCUCUGCCUCCUAGGUUCAAGGGAUCUUCCUACCUCAGGCUCCUGAGUAGCCAGGAUUACAGGUGCAUGCCACCGUGCCCGGCUAAUACUUUGCAUUUUUGUAAAGACGGGGUUUCACCAUGUUGGCCAGGCGGGUCUCGAACCCCUGACCUCAAGUGAUCGGCCGCCUAAGCCUCCAAAGUGCUGGGAUUACAGGCAUGAGCCACCGUGCCCAGCCUUCCUUCAUCUACUUAUUUUCCUGUGAUGCCUCCAUGUUUUAGAGUAUGUGUCUGAGGGGCAGGAAUAUGUAUUAGAUAUAUCUAGGGCAGUCCCACCAGCUUUACAUUCUUGAGACCUCAUCCAUCAGUUCUUGUUUUGCAGACAUAUACUUCUAUUGACUACAAUGAGAAGUGUGUCUCUUAAAAAGGUAAGUCUGGCCGCGCGUGGUGGCUCACGCCUGUAAUCCCAGCACUUUGGGAGGCAGAGGCAGGUGGAUCACGAGGUCAGGAGAUCGAGACCAUCCUGGCUAACAUAGUGAAACCCCGUCUCUACUAAAAAUACAAAAAUUAGCUGGGUUCGUGGGGGUGCGUGCCUGUAGUCCCAGCUACUCAGGAGGCUGAGGCAGGAGAAUCGCUUAAACCUGGGAGGCGGAGGCUGCAGUGAGCCCAGAUCAUGCCACUGCACUCCAGCCUGGGCGACAGAGUGAGAUUCUGUCUCCAAAAAAAAAAAAAAUUAGCCAGGUGUGGCAGUGCACGCCUGUAGUCCCAGCUACUGGGGAGGCUGAGGCAGGAGAAUUGCUUGAACUGGGGAGGCAGAGGCUGCAGUGAGCCCAGAUUGUGCCACUGCACUCCAGCCUCAGUGACAGAGCGAGACCCUGUCUCAAAAAAAAAAAAAAAAAACAAGUGAACAAAGGUCUCUGGUUUUCCUAGGCAGAGGACCCUG
rnacentral:lncRNA from 10 species